rnacentral:rRNA from 1 species
GGAGCACGUGAAAUUCCGUCGGAAUCUGGGAGGACCAUCUCCUAAGGCUAAAUACUCUCUAGUGACCGAUAGUGAACCAGUACCGUGAGGGAAAGGUGAAAAGCACCCCGGAAGGGGAGUGAAAUAGAACCUGAAACCGUGUGCUUACAAGUAGUCAGAGCCCGUUAAUGGGUGAUGGCGUGCCUUUUGUAGAAUGAACCGGCGAGUUACGAUUUGAUGCAAGGUUAAGCAGUAAAUGUGGAGCCGUAGCGAAAGCGAGUCUGAAUAGGGCGUUUAGUAUUUGGUCGUAGACCCGAAACCAGGUGAUCUACCCUUGGUCAGGUUGAAGUUCAGGUAACACUGAAUGGAGGACCGAACCGACUUACGUUGAAAAGUGAGCGGAUGAACUGAGGGUAGCGGAGAAAUUCCAAUCGAACCUGGAGAUAGCUGGUUCUCUCCGAAAUAGCUUUAGGGCUAGCCUCAAGUGAUGAUUAUUGGAGGUAGAGCACUGUUUGGACGAGGGGCCCCUCUCGGGUUACCGAAUUCAGACAAACUCCGAAUGCCAAUUAAUUUAACUUGGGAGUCAGAACAUGGGUGAUAAGGUCCGUGUUCGAAAGGGAAACAGCCCAGACCACCAGCUAAGGUCCCAAAAUAUAUGUUAAGUGGAAAAGGAUGUGGCGUUGCCCAGACAACUAGGAUGUUGGCUUAGAAGCAGCCAUCAUUUAAAGAGUGCGUAAUAGCUCACUAGUCGAGUGACACUGCGCCGAAAAUGUACCGGGGCUAAACAUAUUACCGAAGCUGUGGAUUGUCCUUUGGACAAUGGUAGGAGAGCGUUCUAAGGGCGUUGAAGCAUGAUCGUAAGGACAUGUGGAGCGCUUAGAAGUGAGAAUGCCGGUGUGAGUAGCGAAAGACGGGUGAGAAUCCCGUCCACCGAUUGACUAAGGUUUCCAGAGGAAGGCUCGUCCGCUCUGGGUUAGUCGGGUCCUAAGCUGAGGCCGACAGGCGUAGGCGAUGGAUAACAGGUUGAUAUUCCUGUACCACCUAUAAUCGUUUUA